UACGAAGGGUGCAAGCGUUACUCGGAAUUACUGGGCGUAAAGCGUGCGUAGGUGGUGAGUUAAGUCUGUCGUGAAAGCCCCGGGCUCAACCUGGGAAUGGCGAUGGAUACUGGCUCGCUAGAGUGCGGUAGGGGGGUGUGGAAUUCCCGGUGUAGCGGUGGAAUGCGCAGAUAUCGGGAGGAACACCGGUGGCGAAGGCGGCACCCUGGGCCAGUCCUGACGCUGAGGCGCGAAAGCGUGGGGAGCAAACAGG
rnacentral:rRNA from 1 species